GACCUCGGAUCAGGUAGGGAUACCCGCUGAACUUAAGCAUAUCAAUAAGCGGAGGAAAAGAAACCAACAGGGAUUGCCUUAGUAACGGCGAGUGAAGCGGCAACAGCUCAAAUUUGAAAGCUGGCUCCUUCGGAGUCCGCGUUGUAAUUUGUAGAGGAUGAUUCGGCGAGGGCUUCCCGCCUAAGUCCCCUGGAACGGGGCGUCAUAGAGGGUGAGAAUCCCGUAUGCGGUGGGUUGCCUUAGCCAUGUGAAUCUCCUUCGACGAGUCGAGUUGUUUGGGAAUGCAGCUCUAAAUGGGAGGUAAAUUUCUUCUAAAGCUAAAUACCGGCCAGAGACCGAUAGCGCACAAGUAGAGUGAUCGAAAGAUGAAAAGCACUUUGGAAAGAGAGUUAAAAAGUACGUGAAAUUGUUGAAAGGGAAGCGCUUGCAGCCAGACUUGUCCGCAGUUGCUCAACCGGUCUCCUGACCGGCGUACUCUUCUGCGGCCAGGCCAGCAUCAGUUCGGGCGGUCGGAUAA
rnacentral:rRNA from 1 species